CCUACGGGAGGCUGCAGUCGAGAAUCUUCGGCAAUGAGCGCAAGCUUGACCGAGCGACGCCGCGUGCGGGAUGAAGGCCUUCGGGUUGUAAACCGCUGUCGUAGGGGAGCAAGAGAUGAGGGUACUCCCUCAAAUUUGAGCGAUCCUAGGAGGAAGGACGGGCUAAGUUCGUGCCAGCAGCCGCGGUAAGACGAACCGUCCAAACGUUAUUCGGUAUCACUGGGCUUAAAGAGUUCGUAGGCGGCUCCGUAGGUGAGGUGUGAAAUCCCUCGGCUCAACCGAGGAAUUGCGCUUCAAACCGUGGAGCUAGAGGGAGACAGGGGUAAGCGGAACAGAUGGUGGAGCGGUGAAAUGCGUUGAUAUCAUCUGGAACACCGGUGGCGAAGGCGGCUUACUGGGUCUUUUCUGACGCUGAGGAACGAAAGCUAGGGUAGCGAACGGGCUUAGAUACCCGUGUAGUC
rnacentral:rRNA from 1 species